rnacentral:rRNA from 1 species
UACGUAGGGUGCGAGCGUUGUCCGGAAUUAUUGGGCGUAAAGAGCUUGUAGGUGGUUUGUCGCGUCUGCUGUGAAAACCUAAGGCUCAACCUUGGGCUUGCAGUGGGUACGGGCAGACUAGAGUGCGGUAGGGGUGACUGGAAUUCCUGGUGUAGCGGUGGAAUGCGCAGAUAUCAGGAGGAACACCGAUGGCGAAGGCAGGUCACUGGGCCGCAACUGACGCUGAGGAGCGAAAGCAUGGGGAGCGAACAGG